rnacentral:rRNA from 1 species
UAAACGACUCUCGGCAACGGAUAUCUCGGCUCACGCAUCGAUGAAGAACGUAGCAAAAUGCGAUACUUGGUGUGAAUUGCAGAAUCCCGUGAACCAUCGAGUUUUUGAACGCAAGUUGCGCCCGAAGCCAUCUGGUUGAGGGCACGCCUGCCUGGGCGUCACAC